rnacentral:rRNA from 1 species
GGUGGUGCAUGGUUGUCGUCAGCUCGUGUCGUGAGAUGUUGGGUUAAGUCCCGCAUCGAGCGCAACCCUUAAGCUUAGUUGCCAUCAUUAAGUUGGGCACUCUAGGUUGACUGCCGGUGACAAACCGGAGGAAGGUGGGGAUGACGUCAAAUCAUCAUGCCCCAUAUGAUUUGGGCUACACACGUGCUACAAUGGAUAAUACAAAGGGCAGCGAAUCCGCGAGGCCAAGCAAAUCCCAUAAAAUUAUUCUCAGUUCGGAUUGUAGUCUGCAACUCGACUACAUGAAGCUGGAAUCGCUAGUAAUCGUAGAUCAGCAUGCUACGGUGAAUACGUUCCCGGGUCUUGUACAC